rnacentral:rRNA from 1 species
CUACGGGCGGCUCCAGUGGGGAAUAUUGCACAAUGGGGGAAACCCUGAUGCAGCAACGCCGCGUGGAGGAUGACACAUUUCGGUGCGUAAACUCCUUUUAUAGGCCAAGAUAAUGACGGUAGCCUAUGAAUAAGCGCCGGCUAACUCCGUGCCAGCAGCCGCGGUAAUACGGAGGGCGCAAGCGUUACUCGGAAUCACUGGGCGUAAAGAGCAUGUAGGCGGGUUAAUAAGUCAGAAGUGAAAUCCAAUAGCUCAACUGUUGAACUGCUUUUGAAACUGUUAACCUAGAGUGUGGGAGAGGUAGAUGGAAUUUCUGGUGUAGGGGUAAAAUCCGUAGAGAUCAGAAGGAAUACCGAUUGCGAAGGCGAUCUACUGGAACAUUACUGACGCUGAGAUGCGAAAGCGUGGGGAGCAAACAGGAUUAGAUACCCUCGUAGUC